GAUGAACGCUGACAGAAUGCUUAACACAUGCAAGUCAACUUGAAUUUGGGUUUUUAACUUAGAUUUGGGUGGCGGACGGGUGAGCAACGCGUAAAGAACUUGCCUCACAGCUAGGGACAACAUUUAGAAAUGAAUGCUAAUACCUGAUAUUAUGAUUUUAAGGCAUCUUAGAAUUAUGAAAGCUAUAAGCACUGUGAGAGAGCUUUGCGUCCCAUUAGCUAGUUGGAGAGGUAACAGCUCACCAAGGCAAUGAUGGGUAGCCGGCCUGAGAGGGUGAACGGCCACAAGGGGACUGAGACACGGCCCUUACUCCUACGGGAGGCAGCAGUGGGGAAUAUUGGGCAAUGGGGGGAACCCUGACGCAGCCAUGCCGCGUGAAUGAAGAAGGCCUUCGGGUUGUAAAGUUCUUUCGGUAUUGAGGAAGGGAUGUGUGCUAAUAGUAGACAUCAUUGACGUUAAAUACAGAAGAAGCACCGGCUAACUCCGUGCCAGCAGCCGCGGUAAUACGGAGGGUGCGAGCGUUAAUCGGAAUAACUGGGCGUAAAGGGCACGCAGGCGGUUAUUUAAGUGAGGUGUGAAAGCCCCGGGCUUAACCUGGGAAUUGCAUUUCAGACUGGGUAACUAGAGUACUUUAGGGAGGGGUAGAAUUCCACGUGUAGCGGUGAAAUGCGUAGAGAUGUGGAGGAAUACCGAAGGCGAAGGCAGCCCCUUGGGAAUGUACUGACGCUCAUGUGCGAAAGCGUGGGGGAGCAAACAGGG
rnacentral:rRNA from 1 species